UGGGAUGUAGCUCAGUGGUAGAGUGCUUACCUAGCAUUCACAGAGACCUGGGUUCAAUUCCCAGUACCACAC
rfam:Ictidomys tridecemlineatus contig024776, whole genome shotgun sequence.